rnacentral:tRNA from 1 species
GGGCCUGUGAGAUAGUCAGGAGAGCCUGUCGGCCUUCGGAGCCGAACACCCGGGUUCGAAUCCCGGCAGGCCCGC